rnacentral:lncRNA from 1 species
AAAAAAAAAGGAAAAAAGAAAAGAAAAAAGGCCAAGGAAAAUAGUCUGGAAAGAACAAAGUAAAUAAAGGAGAAGGAUAAAGAGAAAAAAAAAACAAAGAAAAUAAAUCAACCCAAAGAAGCAAGGAACCCAGUCUAGAAAGAAGAGUAAGUAAGAAACGAAAAAAUCCGAGUAAAAAACAUAGUAAGAAAAGUAAAGAAAGAGUAAACGAGAAGGGUAAACCAAGUAAUUGCAACACAUAAUAACAAUAGGUAAUAAGUUAGUAAACCAAGUAAUUCAAACACAUAUAACCAAACACAUAAAACAGAUAGGCUCAAGUAAAGUGUGAGAAAUGGAACCAAGUAAAA